rnacentral:rRNA from 1 species
UACGUAGGGUGCAAGCGUUGUCCGGAAUUAUUGGGCGUAAAGAGCUCGUAGGCGGUGUGUCGCGUCGGCCGUGAAAACCUGCAGCUUAACUGUGGGCGUGCGGUCGAUACGGGCAUCACUGGAGUUCGGCAGGGGAGACUGGAAUUCCUGGUGUAGCGGUGAAAUGCGUAGAUAUCUGGAGGAACACCGGUGGCGAAGGCGGCAUCCUGGACCGACACUGACGCUGAUGAGCGAAAAGCCAGGGGGAGCAAACGGG